rnacentral:rRNA from 1 species
UACGGGGGGGGCAAGCGUUGUUCGGAAUUACUGGGCGUAAAGGGCUCGUAGGCGGCCAACUAAGUCAGACGUGAAAUCCCUAGGCUCAACCUAGGAACUGCGUCUGAUACUGGAUGGCUUGAAUCCGGGAGAGGGAUGCAGAAUUCCAGGUGUAGCGGUGAAAUGCUUAGAUAUCGUCAAGAACACCGAUAGUGUAGACAGCUUACUAGACUUCAACUGACGCUGAGGCACGAAAGUGUGGGGAUCAAACAGG